rnacentral:hammerhead_ribozyme from 1 species
ACCCAACUGACGAGUCUCCAAUAAGACGAAAUCCGCAUCGUGGAU